rnacentral:tmRNA from 29 species
GGGGCUGAUUCUGGAUUCGACGGGAUUUGCGAAACCCAAGGUGCAUGCCGAGGGGCGGUUGGCCUCGUAAAAAGCCGCAAAAAAUAGUCGCAAACGACGAAAACUACGCUUUAGCAGCUUAAUAACCUGCUUAGAGCCCUCUCUCCCUAGCCUCCGCUCUUAGGACGGGGAUCAAGAGAGGUCAAACCCAAAAGAGAUCGCGUGGAAGCCCUGCCUGGGGUUGAAGCGUUAAAACUUAAUCAGGCUAGUUUGUUAGUGGCGUGUCCGUCCGCAGCUGGCAAGCGAAUGUAAAGACUGACUAAGCAUGUAGUACCGAGGACGUAGGAAUUUCGGACGCGGGUUCAACUCCCGCCAGCUCCACCA